UGAAACACGGACCAAGGAGUCUAACAUGUACGCAAGUCAUGGGGUUGCAAAACCCACAGGCGCAAUGAAAGUGAAGGUCAAUUCGGUUGGCCGAGGUAGGAUCCCUGGGUUAUACCCUGGGGCGCACUACCGUCCCAUCGCAUCUGCUCGUCAGAGCGGUGGAGAAAGAGCGUACACGUUGGGACCCGAAAGAUGGUGAACUAUGCCUGAGCAGGAUGAAGCCAGAGGAAACUCUGGUGGAGGUCCGUAGCGGUUCUGACGUGCAAAUCGAUCGUCAGACUUGGGUAUAGGGGCGAAAGACUAAUCGAACCAUCUAGUAGCUGGUUCCCUCCGAAGUUUCCCUCAGGAUAGCUGGCACUUAGAACGCAGUUUUACCCGGUAAAGCGAAUGAUUAGAGGCCUUGGGGACGAAACGACCUCAACCUAUUCUCAAACUUUAAAUGGGUAAGAAGUCUCGCUUGCCUGACCGAAGCUCAGACAUUGAAUGCGAGUGCCAAGUGGGCCAUUUUUGGUAAGCAG
rnacentral:rRNA from 1 species